UGGCCGCUGUUAUUGGGCCUAAAGCGUCCGUAGCUGGCCAGGCAAGUCUAUCGGGAAAUCUCCCCGCUUAACGGGGAGGCGUCCGGUGGAAACUGCCUGGCUUGGGACCGGAAGAUCCAGAGGGUACGUCCGGGGUAGGAGUGAAAUCCUGUAAUCCUGGACGGACCACCGGUGGCGAAAGCGCUCUGGAAAGACGGAUCCGACGGUGAGGGACGAAAGCUCGGGUCACGAACCGGAUUAGAUACCCGGGUAGUCCGAGCUGUAAACGAUGUCUGCUAGUGCGCCACAGGCUAGAGCCUGUGGUGUGCCGUAGGGAAGCCGUGAAGCAGACCGCCUGGGGAAGUACGUCCGCAAGGAUGAAAACUUAAAGGAAUUGGCGGGGGAGCACUACAACCGGAGGAGCCUGCGGUUUAAUUGGACUCAACGCCGGACAUCUCACCAGCAUCGACAGUAGGAGUGACGGUCAGUGUGAUGAGCUUACCAGACCUACUGAGAGGAGGUGCAUGGCCGCCGUCAGCUCGUACCGUGAGGCGUCCUGUUAAGUCAGGCAACGAGCGAGACCCGCACUCCUAAUUGCCAGCAACACCCUUGUGGUGGUUGGGUACAUUAGGAGGACUGCCAGUGCCAAACUGGAGGAAGGAACGGGCAACGGUAGGUCAGUAUGCCCCGAAUGUGCUGGGCAACACGCGGGCUACAAUGGUCGAGACAGUGGGAYGCAACCCCGAGAGGGGGCGCUAAUCUCCGAAACUCGAUCGUAGUUCGGAUUGCGGACUGAAACUCGUCCGCAUGAAGCUGGAUUCGGUAGUAAUCGCCGUUCAGAAGACGGCGGUGAAUACGUCCCUGCUCCUUGCACACACCGCCCGUCAAAGCACCCGAGUGAGGUCCGGAUGAGGCCCCCGCACGGGGGUCGA
rnacentral:rRNA from 1 species